rnacentral:rRNA from 1 species
UACGUAGGGCGCAAGCGUUGUCCGGAAUUAUUGGGCGUAAAGAGCUCGUAGGCGGUUUGUCACGUCGGGUGUGAAAGCCCACAGCUUAACUGUGGGUCUGCAUUCGAUACGGGCAGACUAGAGGCAGGUAGGGGAGAACGGAAUUCCCGGUGUAGCGGUGAAAUGCGCAGAUAUCGGGAGGAACACCGGUGGCGAAGGCGGUUCUCUGGGCCUGUACUGACGCUGAGGAGCGAAAGCGUGGGGAGCGAACAGG